rnacentral:rRNA from 1 species
AUGCAACACGAAGAACCUUACCUGGUCUUGACAUCCCGGAGACCCUUAGGAAACUAGGGGGUGCUUCCAUCUGGAAGAAUCUGGAGACAGGUGCUGCAUGGCUGUCGUCAGCUCGUGUCGUGAGAUGUUGGGUUAAGUCCCGCAACGAGCGCAACCCUUGCCUUUAGUUGCCAGCAGUUCGGCUGGGCACUCUAAAGGGACUGCCGGUGUUAAACCGGAGGAAGGUGGGGAUGACGUCAAGUCCUCAUGGCCUUUAUGACCAGGGCUACACACGUACUACAAUGGCCGAUACAAAGGGCAGCGACACUGCGAGGUGAAGCCAAUCCCGUAAAAUCGGUCUCAGUCCGGAUUGGAGUCUGCAACUCGACUCCAUGAAGUUGGAAUCGCUAGUAAUCGUGGAUCAGCAUGCCACGGUGAAUACGUUCCCGGGCCUU